rnacentral:rRNA from 1 species
GACGAACGCUGGCGGCGUGCUUAACACAUGCAAGUCGAACGGAAAGGCCGUGCUUUUGUGGGGUGCUCGAGGGGCGAAGGGGUGAGUAACACGUGAGUAACCUGCCCUUGACUUUGGGAUAACUUCAGGAAACUGGGGCUAAUACAGGAUAGGAGAUCCUGCAGCAGGGUGGGGGUUGGAAAGUUUCGGCGGUAGGGGAUGGACUCGCGGCUUACCAGCUAGUUGGUGGGGGAGCGGCAUACCAAGGCUUGGGCGGGUAGCCGGCCUGAGAGGGUGGCCGGCCACCUUGGUCCUGCGGUACGGCCCAGUCUCCUACGUGAGGCAGCGGUGGGAAACCUUGCCCAGUGAGCGCACGCCUGAUGCAGCAGCCUCGCGUGCGUGAUGCCGGCCUUCUGGUUGUGAACCGCUUUCGCCUGUGACGACGCGUGAGUGACGGUACUGGGUAAAGAAGCACCGGCUAACUACGUG